ACAUUAACACCCAAAACACUAUUCACUCCAGUCUGUUUAGCAGUUCGGAACAGUUUGAGCCCUUCUGAAUAUCCGUUUGAGCUCAAAUUUGACAGGCAGGCUCGGUUUAAUGUACUGAGUAAGAAUAUAUCUUAAGUUUUCAGUUUCGACCCCGUUUGGUCACAGAAAACUGUACCGAACUCUAAUCUUUAUCAGAUAGCUAUCGGAUUUUAUUUCUCACUCUACGGGUGUCAGAAAAAUAUGAAACUUUAAAUUUAGCCUCAUAAACAUAUUUCUGACUUAUCCUCCAAUUUUCAUAAUUUUCUGAGACUGUGCACUUUCUGCUAAUUUAUCUGUCCCGUUUCCAACAGAAAAUUCUAGAUCUUCUAUUUUCAUUCCGAUUUCAGCACAAGUCAUUUCUGACUUAUGUUUUACUUCUCUAAAUUCAAUAAAAAUAGUUUCUCACACUAUUUUUAUUUAUUUUUAUUUUUAUACCAAAAUCUAGUAUGUUACGUACUUAGUUGUGGAUCAUGU
rnacentral:lncRNA from 1 species